GACAGAGGGUGCAAACGUUGUUCGGAAUUACUGGGCGUAAAGCGCGUGUAGGCGGCCCAGCAAGUCGGAUGUGAAAGCCCUGGGCUUAACCUAGGAAGUGCAUUCGAAACUGCUGGGCUUGAGUUCUGGAGAGGAAGGCGGAAUUCUCGGUGUAGAGGUGAAAUUCGUAGAUAUCGAGAGGAACACCGGUGGCGAAGGCGGCCUUCUGGGACAGUGACUGACGCUGAGACGCGAAAGCGUGGGGAGCAAACAGGG
rnacentral:rRNA from 1 species